UCCCAGGGGCAGCGGCGGGCCUGCCCUUCCUGCGGGCUCCCCCACGGCCCCCGUCAGCUCCGGCCCCGGCGCGGUGCGGCCGGAGCGCAGCGGUGCCGCCGCUCGGUGCCCGCGCUGCGCCGAGACAGCGAUGCUCCCCCUGCCGAGCGCGGCCCUUUUACGCCCCGCCGCAUCAAGGUGAGCUUGCGGAAAAAAACACCACCCACCCCGGCACCCGCAGGCGCGGCCGCACCGCGCUGCCCGCCCGGCCGCCGCACCGCGCCCGCUCUGCCCGUGGGUUAUCGCCCCUGCUCGGCGGGAGACCCCCGGCCAUCCCCCAACACUCGCCCCGCACCCCGCGGCCGCCUGCUGCGGGCAGUCCCGCCCGUGCCGCUCGGGGGGCCGCAGCUCGGCGGCGCCGGCCGUCCCCCGGGGAUGCCUGGGAGCCCCGAGCUGCCCGGGGACAGGACGAGCCACCCCCCGGCACUUCAGCACCCACUUCACGAGAAAUAGCUGCAUGCCACCGGUUUUGCAGCCUGAGCGCCACGAUGUGCAAAUGUGACACUAAUUCCUGAAGUGUUAAUGAAAAACAGUAAGGUGUAUGCUAAUGUUAAGCGAAAUUCAAUAGAAACAUUCAGAAAAUAAUUUUCAGUUUGGUUUUUUUUCCCUUUGUGCUGGGUCGUUGGGGGCCAGGCUCUCAAGCUUUGAUUAACACAGUCUUCAACUCCCAGAAAAGAACAUACUGUAAGACUCAUUUCAGGUUCUGGCAGUGAAUAUGAACUUGUGCCCCCACUAAUGCAACAUGAACACAUCACCAGUACCAAUUCAUUGCUACAAUGUGUCCAAUGCCAUUCAAUCGGAUGUCUUUAAAUGACGAGUUUAAACUUCUUCCUGUCUUCACUGCACUUUCUCCUCCACGGCAGGCCAGUUCAGACAGGAACUUUCUAACAUGUGAACCACAGUGGCCACUCAGACUCGUGAUAAGGGAUGGCAGAAACAGCACACAUGUCAAAACAGAUGUUAAGUAGUUGAUACAACUAUCCACAGAAAUCCCAUUAAUAUUUAAGCUUUCCAGUGGCACAUAUCUACUCUUCUUUCUUUGAAUUGUAAAUUGGGUUAGUUAAUCCUUCAUUUACUACUUGUUUGCAUUUCCCUGGUUUGAUAUACGCAAGUGUUUAUACUCUUCAUUUUUCUCAUCCCUAUGUACUCGUUUACAGCUGAAGAUGUACAGCAUGCCUUUACCAUUAGCCACUCCUCCAGAACCAUGCUUAGAUUUAAACUCUAGUGGCCUUAGUCACUUGAUUUGAGGGCUGAUACUCAAAUUAUGGAAAGCCAGACUUCAGCUGAGAGCAGAUAGUCCAACCCACUGAGCCAGGCCUCUGUCCCAGGGCCACUAACCCUUGAGCUUUGUUUAAUUGCUGGGGUGGGCAAUGGCACAGCUCACAGCAGCACAUGUGCAUCACUGUUGAUAGGACUGAGGCUUUAAACUGAGGUUUGGGUCAAUAAACUAUGAACAUUACUGAGCUCCAGUUCCUGAUGUACUUUUUGUGAUCCAUUAAGAAAUAUUGUUAUAAUUCUGUGCCCUCUAGUGGUGCUUAAAAUCAUCAAUUAAUUUAAAUAAUCAUAAGGAAAACAGUCUGUGAGCACAAGUUGAGCCAGUAUUGAAAUGUAGCCAUAGAUUCCAGAAGAACUAGAAGCUAACAAAAGUAAAACACUUAGUGAUGAAUUAUUUUAUUUUUUACAGUGUGGGAACAAGUGUAUUUUCCCAUCUGUUAUCUGUUAUUAAAUAAAUCCUUCUAAAAGUAUGUAUUAUGAGAAGACAUUUAUGGUAAUUAAUCUAAUCCCUACUUGUUCAUAUGUCAGAUAACCAAGGCAUGAUCUGCUGGUUGAAUACAGAGACCAGGCAGCUGCCAGUCCUCUGGCAGGCAAAGGGGCUGUGCUGUGUAACAAAGCCAGUCCUCAUCUAAGUAUUUAUUGCAAAAUACAGGUCUGCAUUUAUAGGACAACAAAGUCCCCUGAUAUUUUGGCUUCAGACUAUAUAAUACCUGCAGAGAUGAGUCAUGUGAAAUUCUAGCAUGUCCGCAUGGUCCAAGGUCAUCCUGGGUUCAGAUGUCAGUAAGAGGAUCUACUUGACGAAAUCUCCAAGGCAAGAACAUCCCAAGGAAUCUUGGCUUCUCAAGGCUGCAGUGUAAAGAUCAUGUACUGGAAGCAAAACUCUUACAUACUUCAAAAAGAAAUGAUGGCCUAAGUGAUAAACAUGGGUGAAGUAUCCUCUACUGAAAACUGUGGCCUUUUUGGGCACUCAUCUGCUGGCUGGUAAAUGAUUCCAAGUGAGACACCAUUUAAAAAAAAAAAAAGUAGUCUUGUGAUUUGGGGCCUAAGGCAACUAGGAAAUCAUACAUAUUUUAUGGGGGAAAGAACAAAUUUUCUUUAUUGACAAGCACUUCAGGAGCUCAUCUCUGGAAUCCACAGAGGCAUAUUGAUUGACAGUUACUCUUCACCUGUCCACUGAUGAUGAUUCAUUUCAAGACAGAAGAGGAAGUAAGCAGGAAGCAGAGGAAGGAAGGAGGCACAGUUUGGGGAGUUCUGUGUAUCCCUCCGAGGUUCUGUGCAUUCCAUCAGAGAGGAACUGCUCACGGUUUCCAUGGCUGCACUGCUCUGUUUGCCUCCUGCAGCAUUCAAUAACACCUAACUUUUGUGUAUUCUAAUUGCUUCCCACUGGAGAAUAUUUCCAGGCUUUUGCUUUUUUUUAAGGUCAGGUUCUAUCCCUGGGUUUAAGUCUUCUAAAUCUGAUUACUGCAAUGCUUUUUCAUUAAAAUGCAUGAUCUGAUGAAAGAGGCUGGUACAAAGGCAGCAGAGUAGCAGAAGUCUGACUGGUGUUAGGCUGUGGAAAUGCAAAUUCCCACACAUUUUCUGUGUUACACUUUCCAGCUGUCAAACCAUUGCACUAGAUCAGAUGUUUGCAAUUACUUAAAAUGAAGUCUGCAGCUUAAAGAUUUCUUGAAUAACAUGAAACUGCAGUUCUUCCAGAUUUUCAACAAGUCCUGUGUAUCUGAUUGAUCUCUGAAGACAGAAGGGCACAGAGGUUUGCACAGCCACAGUUUGCUUUUGGAAACCCUGCAGUAGGUUCUGACAUGCUCAGCACAUUGGCAGCUUCCAUUUUUCCUGACCAGGAGCUUCAUUUGGGCAUGCAGACUUGCCUGAGCCAUUCCCUUUCUUUGUAACUUGGCAGAGAACCAUGGGCAACCACUCUGAGACAGCUAAGACUCAUUUUGCACAAGCCAAUGACCACUGCAUGGUUUGCAGAAAAAUUUGAAAGUUCUACUCAUCAAGAAUUGCUAAAUGGAACCACCAGAGAGAAAUGUCUCUGAAUUUCAAGCUGACACCCAAAAGCUGCUUGUCUUAAAGCUCCUGUGUCUGUUCACAUUUCCAGGGUAGACAUCAGAGAGUUAUUAGAGGCCAUUUCAUCUGUAACUCUGGUAACAUGUCCGCUCCAUGACUUAAGGCAAAGCUAGAACUAUAAGGAGAAUGAAUAAACUGCAGAAUUUUUUAAGGAAAUUUUGAUCCUAGUUCUGGAAAACUUGAAUAUUAAUGUGUUCAGCAUAAAGAAAAAAACAUAGUUUCAGAUGGAUCAAUUCUUUCCAAUUUAGAUUUUUCACACAUCUCACAUAUAUCUAUAUGAAACACAAAAACCGAAGUAAAAAGCCAUUGUCAUAAAAAAAAAACCAACAAACCCAUAAGACUUUUAUUCAAAGAUGUAAAAAAGAGUUAUUUUGACAUUUUCAGAGUCUUCCAACCUGUUUUUUUCUCACAUAAAUGAAAUAUGAGUGAAAAAGACAAGACUUCACAAAACAUUUGAAGAGAAUUGUACUAUUUUAAUAAAAACAUAUUCUGCUAGUGGUUUGAUUAUCAACUGUAAUCAGAAUAGAAGGGUUUGUUUUUGUUGAAAUAAAAUUUAAAAAGGAAACUCUUAGGUAAUUACAAUAUACAGCAGCACUCAGUUAACUGGCAGAGAAUCUAUAAUGACAUCUAUUUCAGAAUUCAUUUCUCAAACAGCCAUUUAUGUUAUCCAUCAGUCACUGAUUUCCCACAUACAAAAGGUAAAUUUUUGUGAUACUCUUCAGCUCUGGAAGAUAAC